UAUUUCCCCACACCUGGCACCCUGCAGUCUCCCAAUUCUCUAGACCAUUUACUUCUUUUCAAGGACACCCAUAGGCUGUUGCCACUUCAAGUGUCUCUGCAACACCAUUGCUCUAUGCACCUGAACAGUGGCCAUCCACACAGACACUAGCGUCUGCCUGGCUCUGACAUCAUACAUGUAGGGCCUUCGUGUCUCUGAACACUCUGCCACUUCAUGUGAAGACACAAUCUCACACUACAGGAUUCCUGAGACAUUCCCAAAGUCUGGGUAGUACAAGUCCUGCUCUUUCGCCUUCCAUGAAUGACGCCGGAUCUAGGAGCAUCACUCCACUGUGGCCCUCAACUCCGUGCCCCGCUGUGCUGGAUGCAUGGGCACAGACUCUGGUCUUAUGGUAGCAGCAAGACUGCCAGGAGCUUCUUUCCAGCUACUGUCUCAGGAGCACAAGAGAAAGAGCGUUUUAGGCAGAGGCCUGGGUCCUACUGAGCCAAGUGAAGAUGUUUGACUCAGCAAUUGAUACGGGGCUUAGUGUAUACAUUGGCAUGGAUAAUAAUAGUAAUAAUAAUAAAUUAUACUUUUAAUA
rnacentral:lncRNA from 1 species